GACGAACGCUGGCGGCGUGCUUAACACAUGCAAGUCGAACGGAAAGGCCCUGCUUUUGUGGGGUGCUCGAGUGGCGAACGGGUGAGUAACACGUGAGUAACCUGCCCUUGACUUUGGGAUAACUUCAGGAAACUGGGGCUAAUACCGGAUAGGAGCUCCUGCUGCAUGGUGGGGGUUGGAAAGUUUCGGCGGUUGGGGAUGGACUCGCGGCUUAUCAGCUUGUUGGUGGGGUAGUGGCUUACCAAGGCUUUGACGGGUAGCCGGCCUGAGAGGGUGACCGGCCACAUUGGGACUGAGAUACGGCCCAGACGCCUACGGGAGGCAGCAGUGGGGAGUAUGGCGCAAUGGGCGGAAGCCUGAUGCAGCAACGCCGCGUGCGGGAUGACGGCCUUCGGGUUGUAAACCGCUUUCGCCGGUGACGAAGCGUGAGUGACGGUAAUGGGUAAAGAAGCACCGGCUAACUACGUG
rnacentral:rRNA from 1 species